GUCAACCUGGGAAACCGUGAUCAAGGCUUACUGCGGUUGGAUGUCUUCAGAGGUAGCUGUGCCGCUAUGCACAUAACGUCAAACGGCAACAGAAGUCAUUAUGCUUGGGUUUAAGCUUCACCAAGUUGUCUUUAUCACAUGUUGCUGUGAUUGGGUGAUUCCCCAAUUGAGUUAACAAGCACCGGAACAGGGAUACCUAAAAAAUUGCCUGGCUGUGCUGCAUUCUGAUGGAUUUGGUUUAUAAGAGACUGACAGCUGGCAACUUCACUCUUUCUUACCUAUGACUCAAUUACCUUUGACAUGGCAGUCAAAACAUCUAUUACAUACACACCAACAAUCUUCCACACAACCCCUCUCUGUGACUUCACUCCAGAUCCCAUGGCUCAAUUACUUGAAAUAUAGCACCAAACAGCUGGAGGGCUUUAGCUCAAUAACACAGCGUCAGAGCAGCUAUAUGACGAGGAGUCAUUGUGAUGACCUGGCAGGGAAUAUGCUACCACCAGGCUGACGGAAAUACUUAUCAUUCACCUCACAGCGUGCUACCAGUGGCCACCUAGGGACAAAGUAGACAUUCCAAAAGGCAACCAUGUUUCCCUUUGAUUAUGUUAAAGGUUGAACCUGAACUACUGCUGGAGCGCUGAUGUUUCAGUUUGUCACAAGUGUUUUAUGACAGAUGCAGUGACGUUAUUGCAGUCGUUGCCUUUUUUUCUUCUGGUUAUGGUUAUCUGAAAUAAGUCAAUAUCAUGACCAGUAUAAUACAAUGUCAUAUCAAAGGUGAUGAAUGUUAGUAUCUAUGGCUACAAUUCAGAUAUCUUGUCACCUUGGAGACAAAGCAUUGAUCUGAGUCAGAAAGGACGGGUAUGCUGCAGCAACUUACUUUAAACAAAAGACUUAAGAGACUGCAACUGUUGCCAUUACGUUGUUUUCCUCUUUAACUCUGAAGACAUUUCCUCUUAACUCAUUGAAAAUUUAUUGUAAUAUAGUUCAAGACAACCUUAAUUUGGAGUUUACAUUUUUUAGCAAUGUAUAUUAAAGGUAGAGUGAAGGGAAGCUACCCUUACUUGGCACUAUGCCCAUGCAAAGCAUGACCUACACAGUGUGACUGCCAGGAAUAAAUUAACUGGAAAUCGCUGGAUUUCUAAAGCACCAAUUAGGCAGCAGUGGUACGGCAGAGGAAGUAAAUGUUUAUUAAAGGCUACAUUUCCCCCAUUUUCCUUGCAGUAAACCUUUUGUUGCAUCUUUGAUGAUAUCUAUCACUUUAAUUGGCCAUCCUAUAGUUUUGUGUCUUCAUAUGUUUAUUCUGGCUGAAAUAUGGCAAUCAUCUUGUGAUAUCCAGGGUAAUUACAUGGGAACUGGGCAUACUAAUUGUAUCGGACUGUAACAUGAGGCUUUUGUGUAAAGAUGGGAGACUUAUAAUAGUCACUUGGUUGCUUUGCAUUCUGAAAAUUCAAGUAUUCUGAGAAAAUUAUGCCAUUUUAAUUAAAGUAAUCACAUCAUAAGCAACUUUAGAGUGUGAAUAAUGUUAAACUGAUCAUUAUCCAUCUUUUGGUAUUUUAUGUGCAUUUUUUAUCCUUUCCUGCCAGUAAUCAAAAACAGCUGCCCAUUUAAUGGCUGUAAAUUUGACAGAAAGCUUUUGUCAGGAGACAUUUUAUUUAACUUUGCAUGAAGAUUGAAAGCAAGGUCAGCUGCUAGUUUGGCCCCAUCUGAAGUUCAAAACUAUACUAAAUCCUCUGAGGUUGCUAAUAAUCCUUUUGAACUCAAAAACUCAAAUCUCUAAAUUGUGGCAUCUCUUCUAAUUCCCUUGCUGUAAAUAUUUCAUGCAAUUAGUUUGCUAUAUUUGUUGUUGCACACAUAUAUAUUUUUUUAUGUUUAUGCUUUAGGAUCAAGCAAACAAUCAAAGACCAUAAAAACAGCCUAUCUUACCAGCCCUUUCAGCUCCUUUCAGCUAUUAAUAUUCCCAUUGCUGAAAUGAGUAUAGCUCAGAACAUAAACCACAAACCAGGAAGGGUUAUGCAACUUUUAUUAACAAAACCCAUAAUAUACAAGAUGGACAGGAAGUGCAUCAAAAUCAGAUUCAUAAUAAGAAGCACACAUACUCGCUAUUUUAAUACUUGGUAAUACACAAGGGAGCUUCAUUUCCUCAUGCUUAGAUGCAGGUAAAUUUCCUUUAGAUACAUAAUCAUACAUCGGAAGUGUAAAGUAUUAAUAAAAUACACAAGUUACAUGUUUUAAAGUAAAUCUCCUGCAUAGGUAAGGUUAGGUAGGACACAUACCUCUAGUAAUUAGUAAUCCAACUUUUAUGUUUUAAUGGAUAUAGAAAUUAGUAUUGGUUGGAACUGAAAAGUGCAAUUACCUCACAUUUGCACUUAAGUGCAGUAAUUUAGAUAAUGUGUAUUUUCCACCACUCACUAACCACCACCUAUUAUUAGACUCAAUCUUAACCUCAGUUACCGUACCAUGUUUCGUUUGUCAGCUUGCAUGGAACUCUUCAUCUUGCAAGAAAACAACAAACGUCCACCUUUACAACGCACUUUCUCCAUUUAAUAGAGGCACAGCCAUAUUCUAACACUAUAACAGAAGUUCAGUAUCAACAGUUGUCAUUGGAAUAUGGUUGAAACCGCAUGCAAAGACUUUCAGAGUACUGAAGCCGUAUUCUUUGAAAAAUGCUGUCACAUUCAAGUAAAAGUCAAAGGUAAAAAACUCUGGUUGAUAUUAGGGCACAACUGUUCACAAAGGAAAUCCCUAUCCACUCAAAGAGUAAAUUCACUCAAUUUAGAGGAAGCUUAGUCACUUUGUGAAGGUCAGUUAGACAAUGUGUGGUUAUUUGAGCUGUUUCGGAAGAUCUCUUCUAACACUGCUGAUUCCAGAGGACAUGUAGAGUCUGGUCUCCAGUAGAAACGGAAGGGUUGUGGUCCGGAUUAAAGGUUACUUUUUCAUCCGGUGAGGACUGAAAGGUCAUCUUUCAUUUCUCAUUUAAUAAGUAUAUGUGUUUGUGCUGAGGAAUCUGGGUGUGUUGGUGUACAAUCCAUAUACUGAAAUUGAAGAUGGGCUGAAAAUCCAAAACUGAGUACUCUUGUACAAUUAAAGAUACAUCUGUAAAUUAAAUUUGGAUGUAUUUCCAAUGUGAACCAGAAAACAGUGCACACUGCA